rnacentral:sRNA from 1 species
GCUGGGUGGGGUGGUGCAUGCCUGUAAUCCCAGUGGCUUGGGGAGGCUGAGACAAGAGGAUAGCGAGUUCAGAGCCAGCCUCAGCAAUUUAGUGAGGCUAUAAGCAACUCAGCGAGACCUUGUCUCUA